rnacentral:rRNA from 1 species
AUUGAACGCUGGCGGCAGGCCUAACACAUGCAAGUCGAGCGGAUGGAGGAGGCUUGUGCUUGGCUUCAGCGACCGACGGGCGAGUGAGGACUACGAAUCUGCCCUGUCGAUGGGAAUGAGAUAACGUCGGGGGCCCGGAUACCACAUACGUCAUUAGGUUGAAAGUGGGGGAUCUUCAGUCCUAAAGCGAUUAGAUGUGUCUAGGUCGGAUUAGCUAGUUGGUGGGGUAAAGGCCUACCAAGGCGACGAUCCGUAGCUGGUCUGAGAGGAUGAUCAGUCACACUGGAACUGAGACACGGUCCAGACUCCUACGGGAGGCAGCAGUGGGGAAUAUUGGACAAUGGGCGAAAGCCUGAUCCAGCCAUGCCGCGUGUGUGAAGAAGGUCUUCGGAUUGUAAAGCACUUUAAGUUGGGAGGAAGGGCAGUAAGUUAAUACCUUGCUGUUUUGACGUUACCAACAGAAUAAGCACCGGCUAACUUCGUG